rnacentral:rRNA from 1 species
UACGUAGGGUGCGAGCGUUGUCCGGAUUUAUUGGGCGUAAAGAGCUCGUAGGCGGUUUGUCGCGUCGGCCGUGAAAUCUCCACGCUUAACGUGGAGCGUGCGGUCGAUGCGGGCAGACUUGAGUUCGGUAGGGGAGACUGGAAUUCCUGGUGUAGCGGUGAAAUGCGCAGAUAUCAGGAGGAACACCGGUGGCGAAGGCGGAUCUCUGGGCCGAUACUGACGCUGAGGAGCGAAAGCGUGGGGAGCGAACAGG